rnacentral:tRNA from 1 species
UCAUUGCUCAGUUGGUAAAGCACAAAGCUCUUAACCUUGUGGACGUGGGUUCAAGCCCGUGAUGAG